UCUCGCCCGUCAGGAGAGAGUGCGCCGGCCCUUGUGUGGCACGCGCCGCACCGCCGAAGGCGCAGGCAGCAGCCGAACGCUCAGGCAAAAGGACUGACAACCGCCC
rnacentral:ncRNA from 2 species